rnacentral:rRNA from 1 species
AUUGAACGCUGGCGGCAGGCCUAACACAUGCAAGUCGAGCGGAGCGGCGGACGGGUGAGUAAUGCCUAGGUAUCUGCCCGUUAGUGGGGGAUAACGUUAGGUAACGGGCGCUAAUACCACAUACUAUCAGAUGAGCCUAGGUCGGAUUAGCUAGUUGGUGGGGUAAUGGCUGACCAAGGCGACGAUCCGUAACUGGCCUGAGAGGAUGAUCAGUCACACUGGAACUGAGACACGGUCCAGACUCCUACGGGAGGCAGCAGUGGGGAAUCUUGGACAAUGGGCGAAAGCCUGAUCCAGCCAUGCCGCGUGAGUGAAGAAGGUCUUCGGAUUGUAAAGCACUUUAAGUUGGGAGGCGUUACCAAAAGAAUAAGCACCGGCUAACUACGUGCCAGCAGCCGCGGUAAUAC